rnacentral:rRNA from 1 species
GACGUAGGGCGCGAGCGUUGUCCGGAUUUAUUGGGCGUAAAGAGCUCGUAGGCGGCUUGUCGCGUCGACUGUGAAAACCCAUGGCUCAACCAUGGGCUUGCAGUCGAUACGGGCGGGCUAGAGUUCGGUAGGGGAGACUGGAAUUCCUGGUGUAGCGGUGAAAUGCGCAGAUAUCAGGAGGAACACCGGUGGCGAAGGCGGGUCUCUGGGCCGUAACUGACGCUGAGGAGCGAAAGCGUGGGGAGCGAACAGG